GAUGAAGAACGUAGUGAAAUGCGAUACGUAAUGUGAAUUGCAGAAUUCAGUGAAUCAUCGAGUCUUUGAACGCACAUUGCGCCCCCUGGUAUUCUGGGGGGCAUGCCUGUCCGAGCGUCAUUGCUGCCCUCAAGCACGGCUUGUGUGUUGGGCCUCCGUCCUCCUCCCGGGGGACGGGCCCGAAAGGCAGCGGCGGCACCGCGUCCGGUCCUCGAGCGUAUGGGGCUUCGUCACCCGCUCUUGUAGGCCCGGCCGGCGCUUGCCGACACAUCAAUCUUUUUUCCAGGUUGACCUCGGAUCAGGUAGGGAUACCCGCUGAACUUAAGCAUAUCAAUAAGCGGAGGA
rnacentral:misc_RNA from 1 species